UUAGUUAUUCUUUUGGUAAUUUAUGAUGAAAAUUGAGUUAGCCAGGGAUAAAAUGCUAGUUUUAUUGCGGAAUGCCGUUUCUGUCUCUCUUUUUUAAAAUUUUAUGCUAGUUUUAUUGCGGAAUGUUGAAUUGAACUUGAUUUCAAAUCUUAGUGAUUUCGUGAAUUCAACACCGGCUUUGCAUGUGGUGAUAUGUUUAUGCCUGUAUUCCCCGCCCAGACCCAAAAUUUCCAAGCUUGGUUUUGCAGCUGGACUAGAAAUUUGUUAAUUCUAAGAGCUGAAUUAUGUCGUUGUCCAAGUUAUCGGAAAUCUACAUGAUUUUAUUUUAAAAUGGGCAUAUGUUGUCGUUCGAUUAGUAAUAGCGGUAUUUAUUUGGACUCUCAGUCCUGAAGAAUAUCGGUAGUCUGCAUCAAUGUCAUAUAUGAUAUGAGAUCUGAGGAUUGAUUGGGGGGGCCGAAGAUGAUGCCAAGAAGUGAAUUCGAAUCCCUUCUCCCCACUUAUUUAAAUACCCCAUUCAUUUUGCUAUAUUUUUGGAACACUUCAUUAGAGAGAGAAUUUCCCCCUAUGGUGUGUGGAUGUCAUCUUUAGAAUUCGAUACUAAUGCUAUGGUUGCAUUGUGAUUGAGCCACUUUGUACAAGUAUGAGCUUUGUAAGGGGUUGUCCCUGGUGAGAGUUGCCAUGGUCCUUUUGGUGGAGGUUCUUUGGUUCUAUUGAAGAGGAUAUGAGGUGAAUCAGUUAAUCUGUAAUUGUCCAGUUGGUGGCCUCUACUCUGGAAGCAACUAUUAAGUGGAGGUUGAAUAAGCUCCAACGGUGGCUAAGAUAGACUGGACCACGCAAGCUGACGGAGAAGGUACCUCAGGACCACCUUUAACAUGUGCGUGAUGAUUUAACUAGCACCUAUCUUGACAAAUUUAAUGACUAUUUGGGGAAAUGAAUCACCUUCAAAGGACCAUCCUGGGUGCCAGGAAAAGCAAUUUUGGAAGACGACCAAUGUGAAAAGCUGGUUGAGUGUCUAUUGUAAAUCUUGCUGGAUCAUAGGAGGCAUCAUCCAGGAGCUGGUAGUGUUUCUUUUAAUGUCAGAAAAGUUAUAUGGAUGUAUUAACAACCUCUUGUAUUGAUUGAAGUUCGCUGAGAGUGGAAGUUCCUCCUGAAGGUAGGAGCGCAGAUUUCAGUGGUAUGAAGAGGGACAUUGAAAGUUAGGAUCAAAUUCAUGCAAAAAGUGCUUUCACACCAUCAUCUUCAUCGCACUCUGUUUACAGUGAUGUCAAACCAACAGUUACAAAUUAGCAUUAGAUUCUUUGGUAGUGACAGCAAAGGAAAACCCUGUCAUUGUUUUCUAGGUCAACCAAUGCCUCAUCUUUUCUAGGUCAUCUACUUUAGCAGAAUUUGUGUUUCUAUUUUCUAAUUGUGUCUGCAGUAAUCUGGAUUGAUUGGUAGCUUCAUUUGGACAUACUUUUUUCCUCAUGGUGGUGGAAUACAUGAAUUGAUACUUUUGUAUGUGCUGAAUUUUCUAAUAACUAUAGGAAAAAUGCACAUAAUAUCAUUCUGAAAUAUCUAAGAUUUGUAGAUGAUUUGUCAAUUUCAGUGGGAAGUGAGUUCUUGAUAUCAAAAUAUAUGCAUAUUGGAUAAUGGCAGCUUUUCUGAGAUAGGAAUUGAAUUGAUCAAUGAAAUCAGGUUUCUCUCGCUUCCUUUUCUUUUAAAUGUGAAUGGCUUGUGUCCAUUGUUUUAUGAUGACAUGAACCUUUGCAUUUGAAUAGCAAAUAUUUAUUUGCCAUUAUUUUUGCCUGGUAAUAUAUUAAUUUUGUUUUUGGUAAGUGGAUCUGCUGAGAUAGUAGUACUUUGUUGUGCAUUAUUGAAGUUUGUUUUAUCGUCGGCCAAUUAAAUGUGCACUGUCAAGAUCGUCUAACAGAUAUUUAGUCUAGUUUACCACUCUAACUUUGUUUUUGUGCAAUUUAAAGGGAAAUGGGUGAGGUCAGCUGUGUAGUUGCAGUUUGGAUGUAUGUUAAAGAGAGAUUAAUUUCUGUUAUCAUCAUUGGUAUUGAUGCUGUAUGUUAGUAUAUUUGCCUCUUCGGUUAACUUCUCAUCCUUUGAUGCUUUUACCUAUAUCUUGGACUGUAAUUUUGGUGGUUGACUUGAGGCUGUUCCAAAGGGAGGGUUCACAAUGUUUAAAUGUUGUUAGUUCUAAAACUACAGCUGUCCAUGUUCAUCACAUGAAUGCUUUUCUGAACAUUAAUUCACAUAGUAGAGUUGGCACUUGGCGGCACAGGUUAUCGUAUAUACAUACGUACACCUGUAUGUAUUGAUUUCUCUAAUCAUAGUAAACGUUAAUAGCCAAUAACUCAAUCACAUCAGACCUGCACCCGGUUAAAAAGAUUAAGGAAAGAAGAAAGUUUUAUGAGGUGAUUAGUGAAGAAAUAGUCUUAAUAAUUUACAUUUGGAAGUAAUAGAUGCAUAUCAUAUCAUGGUAAGCAGAAAUGAUGAUUCUACAUAAAUGAUGUGCUUGUCUAUUAGUUGAUACAGAGUAGGAAUAGAAGGGUGAUGCAUAUUGAUGCAUACCUCAAAGUAUUUUGUCAAUUGAGAUGCAUUAGAAAUUCCACUAUUCACUUGGCAUUCAUUCCACUGUUAGUAUAGAAGGGUGAUUCACUUGGCACGUCUUGGGUUGCAUAUGUUUUGCCACAUUUUAAGAAAUGUAUAAAUUUUAUACACAAUUAGAAUAGUAUUUUGCAGAUGGAGCGUGGGAUGAGGCAGCAGGGUUAGAGGUUUCGUGGAAAAGGGAAAGGAAGUAAAUAGAAUUGAAUAGGAGAACAUGCACUUCUUUUUUUAGGGGAGGAUUGUGACUAAGGCAAGAUUGAUUGUGAAUAACAUAUAAAAUGUUAUAUAUGAUGAAGAUUUAAACAGAGAUAAAGAGUAAGAGUAAGAAAGGGUGCAUUUGCUAUUGAAUUCAAUUUGUAUUUAUCAUAUGACGUAAUAGGCUCAUUAUUCUCAACUGUCUCAAUUACUCUUGCAUUUAUUUGGUUUUAAUGAUCUCUCAAUCUAAUAUACUUCCCUUUUUUUUCAAUUCUCGAACUACCCCAACCUCAUUAUGAAAUUACACAGUUGCCCUUUUCAUAACUAACGUAUUUGACCUCAUAAUAAUAUCCUCACAUGCACAGCCGUGUGGGUUUGCAUCAAUGCCUUUGCUUAAUUGUAAUAUUGACAUUCAACUACUUGCUUUAGCUUAGGUAUAUAUUUUCUUUGGCUAUUGAAUGCGCAUAAGCUUAAAAUUUGGUGUUAAUCUUGUCAUUGUUUCACAAUUUGACUAGGCUUUGUAGAUUUUAUUGCACCCCUUUGCGUUGUGGUGGCUUGCUCUCAUUGGUUUCUGAGAAAUGCAUGCUGAAAAAUUACCUAACAUUCUUAUAAGAAAAUCAGGAACAUGAAGAUAGGUUUCUUCUGCUAAAGAUGGAACAAAUCUCACCCACCAACACCGCUGCCGCUAUAGAUGAUCUACUUUACCUAGGAAUUAAGGUGAGAAACGGACAUAAAUAAACAGGGGAAAUAGCAGUAGUAAGGCUCAUGCUCCUUUGAAAUUACCUCCACCUACAACUGGAGCAGGAACAUGAAUCUAGAAAUUGCUGCCUAUUUGGUUAUCAUAUUUGGGGUGUAUGGAUAUUUGCUUUCAUUUAUCAAUAUUUUUGGUGGUAAGAGCUACUAGCAUGUCUUCUUUGUCUUCCUGGCAGCGGUGUCGUGGAUGACAUCGAGCAAAACAGUGCUCUUGCAUUUGGGGCAUCUGGGGUCCUCCUCCGAUAGCAUCACGUACAUGAGGCACCGAGGGCAGCCCACCAGCAUCAUCGAAGUGGCCUCCGGGCUGGUGGAGUACUGCAGCGUCUCGUUCAGCUCGGAAGACACACAUGAGCUCGGCGGAGACACGGUCAGUGAUCUGGUCGGGGACUCCACCCGCCUUGGUGGCGAUAAGUUCAGCUUCAGGUCAAGUUUCGGUCCGUUCCUUCCACUCAUCUUUAUAACUCCUUUCUCUUUGCCUUAUAGAUAGAUAGCUAGGAUCACCUGUUCAAAUAUGCAUAAUAAAACAACAAUAUUAAACCAGAAAUGAAAGAAGAUAGGAUUUGAAAAUAUGAUAUACCUAAGGAUUGAUUGAUUGAUUGAGCUAGUAUGGGAUUGGAUUGGAUUCUUCAAGUUUUAUAGGAAGAACGCCACUAACAUGGGGUUGUUGGAGCGGCUGAGGAGGUUGUUUUAGACUUGGAGGGGCAUAUUAUAUAUAAGAGGAGAUAGAUGGGAUCUCUUUAAAGCUUAAUUAAAUUAUGCUGAGGGAGAGAGGGGGUGGGGGGUUAGUGGAUUUGAAAUCAAUUGUAGAAGAUGAGCUAGUGUAAAUUGAGAGCCAGGAAAUGUAUUAAUUGUUGGAAAAGAUCCCAAGAUGGUUGCAGAAAAGGGAAAUUUGUAGUAAAUAUUGCAAUUAUGGCCGACAUUCAUUGCCUAUACUAAACUAUUCUUUCUCUAUAUUCAAGUAUAUGUAAUUCGGAUUAGCACACUAAUUUCAAAUUAGGGAUAAGCAAAAUCAAAAUAAUUAGGUUUUUGUCGAUUUUUAAUUUUCUUUUGGAAUUUUUUUAUGUAUUCAACCCAUUUUUGUGGUCUGCUCUUCAGAAAUAUUCUGAAGAAUAAAAGAGACUACAUUAAAUCAUUUUAUGACUAUACAAUGACUUGGUUGGUUUGGCUUAA